UACGUAGGUGGCAAGCGUUGUCCGGAUUUACUGGGCGUAAAGGGCGCGUAGGUGGCCUUCUAAGUUGAACGUGAAAUCCCUGGGCUCAACCCAGGAACUGCGUCCAAGACUGGGAGGCUUGAAUCCGGGAGAGGGAUGCGGAAUUCCAGGUGUAGCGGUGAAAUGCGUAGAUAUCUGGAGGAACACCGGUGGCGAAGGCGGCAUCCUGGACCGGUAUUGACACUGAGGCGCGAAAGCCAGGGGAGCAAACGGG
rnacentral:rRNA from 1 species